rnacentral:misc_RNA from 1 species
UACGAAGGGGGCUAGCGUUGUUCGGAAUUACUGGGCGUAAAGCGCAUGUAGGCGGAUUGUUAAGUUGGGGGUGAAAUCCCGAGGCUCAACCUCGGAACUGCCUUCGAUACUGGCAAUCUGGAGUCCGGGAGAGGUGAGUGGAAUUCCGAGUGUAGAGGUGAAAUUCGUAGAUAUUCGGAAGAACACCAGUGGCGAAGGCGGCUCACUGGCCCGGUACUGACGCUGAGGUGCGAAAGCGUGGGGAGCAAACAGG